GGACAAUGACGAUAUAAUGAAAGGUCUCGUUCGUCGUAAUGGCUUUUAAAAGAGCCUUGCCGACCAUCCUGUUAUAUCACCACCCAUAUUCUGAGUCU